GCCAAUCAUCUGUCCUUACUAGCGAUUAGUUACUAGAGAUUUGUCAGCACAGAUACGUUAUCACUGCGGAGAGAUGGUUUUGGCUCGGGGACUCAAGAAUUGCGUGGCAAUAAGACAACAACCCCCCACAGUGCACAGCCAAAGUCGUCAGUAAAUUCUAUAACCGUGCAUCCGGUACAGAUGUAUUGACAGAUUAGAACUGUUUUAGCAUGCUGACUGAGCACACGUUAAAAAUACACAGUGUUAGGUAAGUAGAGAGUAGGACCCCAUACUAGCCAGGUGUCCUUCGCUAUAGCUCCUCAAGC